rnacentral:rRNA from 1 species
CGUGUAGGCGGUUUCUUAAGUCUGAUGUGAAAGCCCUGGGCUCAACCCAGGAAGUGCAUUGGAUACUGGGAGACUUGAAUACGGGAGAGGGUAGUGGAGUUCCUAGUGUAGGAGUGAAAUCCGUAGAUAUUAGGAGGAACACCGGUGGCGAAGGCGGCUACCUGGACCGAUAUUGACGCUGAGACGCGAAAGCGUGGGGAGCAAACAGGAUUAGAUACCCUGGCAGUCCACGCCGUAAACGAUGAGAACUAGGUGUUGCGGGUAUUGACCCCUGCAGUGCCGCAGCUAACGCAUUAAGUUCUCCGCCUGGGAAGUACGGUCGCAAGACUAAA